GAUGAACGCUAGCUACAGGCUUAACACAUGCAAGUCGAGGGGCAGCACAGUGUAGCAAUACACGGGUGGCGACCGGCGCACGGGUGCGUAACGCGUAUCCAACCUUCCCGAUACUCUUGGAUAGCCUUCCGAAAGGGAGAUUAAUACAAGAUGGUGUUUCACUUUCGCAUGUUAUUGAAACUAAAGAUUUAUCGGUAUCGGAUGGGGAUGCGUGACAUUAGAUAGUAGGCGGGGUAACGGCCCACCUAGUCUACGAUGUCUAGGGGUUCUGAGAGGAAGGUCCCCCCACACUGGAACUGAGACACGGUCCAGACUCCUACGGGAGGCAGCAGUGAGGAAUAUUGGUCAAUGGUCGGAAGACUGAACCAGCCAAGUAGCGUGAAGGAUGAAGGUUCUAUGGAUUGUAAACUUCUUUUAUACGGGAAUAAAGCCCACUACGUGUAGUGGUUUGUAUGUACCGUAUGAAUAGCAUCGGCUAACUCCGUGCCAGCAGCCGCGGU
rnacentral:rRNA from 1 species